UCCCUGGUGUCUCAGUGGUAAAGAAUUUGCCUGAUAUGCAGGAGGCUUGGGUUCAAUCCCUGGGUUGGGAU
rnacentral:tRNA from 1 species